UACGUAGGGUGCAAGCGUUGUCCGGAAUUAUUGGGCGUAAAGAGCUCGUAGGCGGUCUGUCGCGUCGAAUGUGAAAACCCGGGGCUCAACCCCAAGUCUGCAGUGGAUACGGGCAGACUAGAGUCAGGUAGGGGAGAACGGAAUUCCUGGUGUAGCGGUGAAAUGCGCAGAUAUCAGGAGGAACACCGGUGGCGAAGGCGGUUCUCUGGGCCUGUACUGACGCUGAGGAACGAAAGCGUGGGGAGCGAACAGG
rnacentral:rRNA from 1 species